rnacentral:snoRNA from 12 species
CUUGCACCCAAACCCAAGAACCGCAGUUUCUCGUAGCGGCGGUUUAAACAGUGGUGCACACAGCAAAUGGACCUUGUCGCCUUUGGGGAGCUGUCCCAUGCCCCCCAGAGUGAAUAUGGAGGUUCUACACCC